GGUGCGAUGGUGUAGUGGUUAUCACUUCCUCUUCCUUCGGGACGAGGACGACGUGGGUUCGAUUCCUGCUCUCAUCA
rfam:Clohesyomyces aquaticus strain CBS 115471 BCR34scaffold_61, whole genome shotgun sequence.